rnacentral:lncRNA from 1 species
UGUUCUUGAGUUGAGUCUUGGUUCACAUAACUACUAGGCUUUGAAUUUCAUGGGUAAUGUUUUGUUUUUUAGUGCAUACAAGCAUGAUUCUAUCUUUAAAUGUUAAUUGCAUGCCAUAGAAGUUGCUCAAAUGAACAUGUUUUUCACAAAAUUUCCUUCAAGUGGUAUCAGAGCCUAGGUUUAGUAGUUGGUGAAUCCUUUUGGGUUGUAUUU